CAAAUGGCUGUUUUCAGAAGCCAGGCGUCUCAAGUGGCUAAAGAAUAAAUGCAUGAAAAUUAAGAGCCAGCUCUGCCUGCGAAAGAGAACAGGAGCAAGCUGGCUGUUGGCUGUCAUCUGGAGUCACCUACUGGGAAGUGCCGAAUCACCCCAGACCAAGGACAGGAAGGAGGCUUGGUCUUCUGGUUGAGUGAGGAAGAGGUUUCAGUUUGGUGAUGGCAACGUCCUUAAGACUUCACUUGCUUCCCUCUCUCUGUUCUUUUGAGAGCGGGUCUCCACCAAGCAUUUUAGCAGGGUCUCACUCUGUCACCCCAGGCUGGAGUGCAGUGGCAGGAUGGCAGCUCACUGCAGCCUCGACCACCCUGGCUCAAGCUAUCCUCCCACCUCAGCCUAAGAGAAACUCUUGGAACGGAAAACCAAAUACCACAUAUCCUCAGUUAUAAGUGGGAGCUAAAUGAUGAGAACACGUGGACACAAAGAGGGGAACAGCAGACACCGAGGCCUACUUGAGGGUGGAAGUUGGGAGGAGGGAGAGGAGCAGAAAAGAUAACUUUUGGGUACUGGGCUUAAUACCCGGGUGAUGAAAUAAUCUGUACAACAAACCCCCAUGAGAUGAGUUUUCCUGUGUAACACCGAACCUAAAAUAAAAGCUAAAAAUAAAAUUAAGUUAAAAGAGAAGCUGUCAUUUUUCUCAUAACCUAAUUACAAACCUAUGUGGUAAGAACUAUAAUCACCCUCAUUUUAUAGCUG
rnacentral:lncRNA from 1 species